ACAGAAGCUGGACUGAAUAAGAAGGAAGCUGAGAACCCUGCAUGGGGCUACUGCACACCAGGACUUGUAUCCAGCCCCCAUCAACUCCAGGGGAACAGAUGAGUUGAACUGGCAAGGAGCAACCUGCUCUCCUCAUAGGCCUCUAGAAUCCCAGAAGAAAGAGACCCCUCAACCACUAUGGACACUUGAAUUGGCAGGGAGAGCUGCUUAAAGAAGUGUCAGGGACUGCAUGCCAUCCAAUACAGAGUCCAAAGGGUCUAGUGCCAGCGCAUCUAUAGUGGAGUGUGGCCAGAGAUACCCACCCCCCGAGGCUUCACUUACUCCAAUAGGGGACUUUAACUCUGAGGAAACUGUCAGACCUGUACUCUGCAGGGAAGUCUCCGCCAUCAGAUGGGGAUGGUUCAACUGUGCUAGUUCUCUAGCAAGGGUUCUAAACCAGGUUGAGAUGACUGAUAUGACAGAAAUAGAAUUCAGAAUAUGUAUAGGAAUGAAGAUCACUGGGAUGCAGGAGCACAUUAAAACCAAAUCCAAGGAAGCUAACAAUCACAAUAAAAUGAUAUGGGAGGUGACAAACAAAAUAGCCAGUAUAGAAAGAAUGUAAAUAAGCUGCUAGAGCUGACAAGCACAUGAUGAGAAUUUCAUAACACAAUUGCAAUACUAAUAGUAGAAUACACCAAGCCAGGGAAAGUCUCAGAGCUUGAAGUUUAGCUUUGUGAAAUAAGACAGUCAGACAAGAAUAAAAAAUAAUAAUAAAGAGGGAUACACAAAACCUCUGAGAAAUAUGAGAUUAUGUAAAGGGGCCAAAUGUAUGUCUCUUGUCAUCCCUGAAACAGAUGGAAAGAAUGGAAACAACAUGGAAAACAUAUUUCAGGAUAUCAUCAAUAAAAACUUUCCCAACUUAGCUAGAGAGGCCAAAAUUUAAAUUUGGAAAAUGAAGAGAACCCCAGUAAGAUACUUCACAAGAAGAUCAUCCCUGAGACACAUAAUCAUUAAAUUCUCCAAAGUGAAAAUCAAUGAAAAAAUGUUACAGUCAGCUAGAGAAAAAGGUCAGGUCACCUAUAAAGGAAAACCCAUCAGACUAACAGCAGACCUCUCAGCAGAAACCCUGUAAGUCAGAAGAGACUGGGGACCAAUAGUCAACAUUCUUAAAGAAAAGGAAUUCCAAUCCAGAAUUUCAUAUACUGCCAAAUUAAGCAAAGGAGAAAUAUGAUCCUUUCAGACAAGUGAAUGCUGAGAGAAUUUAUUUCCACUACAUGUCUGCAUAAUAACCAGUUAACUUCAUGAUGUCAGGAUCAGAUUCACACAUAUCAGUACUAACCUUGAAGGUAAGUGAACUAAAUACCCCAAUUAAAACACACAGAGUGGCAAGCUAGAUAAAGAACCAAAAUCCAAUUAUGUGCUGUCUUCAAGAGACCUAUCUCACCUGCAAUGACACCCAAAGGCUCAACAUAAAGGAAUGGGGGAAGAAAAGUUAUCAAGCAAAUGGAAAACAGAAAAAAGUAGGAGUUGCAAUCCUAAUUUCAGACAAAAGAGAUUUUAAACCAACAAAGGUCAAAAAGGACCAAGAAUGGCAUGAUAAAUGGUAAAGGGUUCAAUUCAACAAGGCCAAAUAAUCCUAAAUAUAUAUCCACCCAACACAGGAGCACCCAGGUCAUAAAGUUAAGUCCUUAGAGACCUUGAAAGAAAGAGACUUAAACUCCCAUGCAAAAAUAGUGGGAGACCAUAACACCCCAUUGACACUGUUAUGCAGAUCAUCAAGGCAGAAAACUAACAAAAAUAUUCAGGACCUGAACUCAACACUGAACCAAAUAGACCUGAUAGAUAUCUACAGAACUCUCAAUACCAAAACAACAGAAUAUACAUUCCUUUUAUCACCGCAUAGCACACACUCUCAAAUUGAUCACAUAAUCAAAAAUAAAUAACUCCUCAGCAAAUAUAAAAGAACUGAAAUCAUACUAAGCACACUCUCAGACCACAUCACAAUAAAAUUAGAAAUCAAGACUAAGAAAAUUGCUGAAAACCAGACAAUUACAUGGAAAUUGAAAAACCUGCUCUGCAAUGACCUUUGCAUAAGUAGUGAAAUUAAGGCAAAAACGAAGAACCUACUAACAACAGCAACAACAACAACAACAACAACAACAACAACAAAAGCCCAGGACCAGAAGGAUUCACUGAAUUCUACUACAUGUUUGAAGAGAUGGUAACAUUUCUACUGAGACUAUUCCAACAAUUAAAAAAAAAAAAGACUCUUCUAAUUCAUUCAAUGAGGCCAUCCUGAUACUAAAACCUGAAGAAAUACAACUAAAAAAGAAAACUUCAGGCCAAUAUACUUGAUGAACAACAAUGCAAAAAUCCUCGGCAAAAUACUGGCACAAUGAAUCCAGAAGCACAUGGAAAAGCUUAUCCACCAUGAUGAAGUAGGCUUCAUCCCUGGGAUGCAAGGUUGGUUCAACACAUGCAAAUCAAUAAAUGUGAUUAAUCACAUAAACAAAUGAAGAUGGAAACCACAUGAUUAUCUCAUUAGAUGCAGAAAAGUCUCUUGAUAAAAUUCAACAUUGCUUCAUGUUAAAAACUCUCAAAAAACUAGCUAUUAAUUUUAAUGGCAAAAAGUGCAAUUACUUUUGCACCAACCUAAUAACAUUAUACUGAAUGGGCAGAAGCUGGAAGCAUUCCCCUUGAAAACUGGCACAAGACAAACAUGACCUCACUCACUACUCCUAAUCAACAUAGUACUGGAAAUACUGGCCACAGCAAUCAGACAAGGGAAAAAAAUAAAAGGCAUUCAAAUGGGAAGAGAGGAAGUCAAUCUAUCCCUGUUUCCAGAUGACAUGAUUCUAUAUCUAGAAAACCCCAGUCUCAGCCCAAAAGCUCCUUUAGCUGAUAAGCAACUUUAGCAAAGUCUCAUGAAACGAAAUCAAGGUACAAAAAUCACUACCACCCCUAUUCACCAACAACAGUCAAACAAAGAGCCAAUUCAGUGACACAAUCCCAUUCACAAUUGCCACAAAUAGAAUAAAAGACCUAGGACUACAACUAACCAGGGAGGUGAAAGAUCUCUACAAUGAUAACUACAAAACACAGCUCAAAGAAAUCAGAGAUGACACAAACAAAUGGAAAAACAUCCCAUGCUCAUGGAUAGGAAGAAUCAAUAGCAUUAAAAUGGCUAUACUGUUCAUUCAGCACAAUUUAUAGAUUAAAUGCUAUUCUUAUGAAAUUAUUAAUAGCAUUCUUCACACAACUAGAAAACACUAUUUUUAAAACUCAUAUAGAACCAAAAAGAGCCUAAAUAGUCAACAGAAUCCUAAGACAAAAGAACAAAGUUAAAGGCAUCAUGCUACCCAACUUCAAAUGAUGCUACAGAGCUACUGUAACCAAAACAGCAUGGUACACAUAGACCAAUGGGACAGAAUAGAAAGCCCCCAAAAAAGACCUUACAUGUACAACCAUCUGCUGUUUGACAAAGCUGACAAAAAGAAGCAAUAAGGAAAGGACUCCCUACUCAAUAAGUAAUAUUGGGAUAACAGGCUAGCCAUAUGGAGAAGAUUAAAACUGGACUCCUUCCUUUCACUAUAUAUAAAUACAACUCAAGAUGGAUUAAAGACUUAAAUGACAGACACCAAACUAUAAAAACUGUGGAGGAAAACCUAGGUAAUACCAUUCAGGACAUAGGCAUGGGCAAAGAUUUCAUGAGGAAGACCCCAAAAGCAAUUGCAACAAAAGUAUAAAUUGACAAAUGGACUCUAAUUAAACUAAAGUGCUUCUCUGCAGAAAAAUAAACUAUCAACAGAGUAAACAGACAACAUAAAAAUGGGAGAAAAUAUUUGCAAACUAUGCAUCUGACAAAGUUCUUAUAUCCAGCAUCUAUAAGGAACUUAAAAUAUUUACAAGAAAACAAUCACAUUAAAAAGUGGGAAAAAACAUGAACAGACAUCUUUCGAAAGAAGAUAUAUAUGUGGUCAACAAGCAUAUGAAAAAAAGCUCACCAUCACUGAUCAUUAGAGUAAUGCAAAUCAAAACCAAAAUGAAAUGCCAGCUCGAACCAUUCUGAAUGGCUAUUACAUAAAAGACAAAAAAUAGCAGAUGAUGGUGAGGAUGAGGAGAUGUGAUGGUUAAUAUUGAGUGUCAACUUGAUUGGGUUGAAGAUUGCAAAGUAUUGUUCCUGGGUGUGUCUGUGAGGGUGUUGUCAAAGGAGAUUCACAUUUGAGUCAGUGGUCUGGGAGAGGCAGACCCACCUUCAAUCUGGGCGAGCACCAUCUAAUCAGCUGCCAGUGCAGCUAGGAUAAAAGCAGGCAGAGAAAUGUGGAAAGACUAGACUGGCUAAGCCUUUUGGCCUCCAGCUUUCUCCUAUGCUGGAUGCUUCCUGCCCUCAACCAUCAGACUCUAAGUUCUUCACCUUUUAGACUCUUGGACCUACACCUGGGGCUUGCCAGGAGCUCUCUGGCCUUCAGCCACAGACUGAAGGCUGCACUGUUGGCAUUCCUACUUUUGAGGUCCUGGGACUUGGGCUGGCUUCCUUGCUCCUCAGCUUUCAGAUGGCCUAUUGUGGGACCUCAUCUUGUGAUCAUGUGAGUCAAUACUCCUUAAUAAACUCCCUUUCAAAUAUACAUAUAUCCUAUUAGUCCUAGCCCUCUAGAGAACCCUAAUACAGGAGAAAAACAAAUGCUUAUACACUGUUGGUGGGAGUGUAAAUUAGUUCAACAAUUGUGGAAAGAAGGGUGGCAAUUUCAAACAGAACUACUAUUUGACCUAGCAAUCCCAUUUCUGGGUAUAUACAGAAAGGAAUAUAAAUUGUUCUACCAUAAAGACACAUGCACAUGAAUGUUCACUGAAGCACUAUUCACAAUAGCAAAGACAUGGAAUCAACUUAAAUGCCCAUCAAUGUUAGACUGGAUUUUAAAACGUGGUACAUAUAUACCAUGAAAUACUAUGCAGUCAUAAAAAAGAAUCAGAUCAUAUCCUUUUGCAGGAACAUGGAUGGAGCUGGAGGCCAUUAUCGUUAGCAAACUAAUGCAGGAACAGAAAACCAAAUACUGCAUGUUCUCACUUAUAUAUGGGAGAUAAAUGAUGAGAACACAUGGACACAUAGAGGGGACCAACAAACACUAGGGUCUACCAGAAGGCAGAGGGUGAGAGGAGGAAGAGUAUCAAGAAAAAUAACUAAGGAGUACUAUGCUUAUAAGCUGGGUGAUGAAAUAAUCUGUGCAACAAACCCUCAUAACACACAUUUACCUAAAAAACAAACCUGCACAUGUACCCAUGUACUUAAAAUAGAAGUUAGAAAAAAUGACACAUGCAUGUCUAUGUUCAUCACAGCACUAAUGACAAUAGCAAAGUCAGGGAAUCAACAUAAAUUGUCAUCAACAGUAGGCUGGAUUAAAAAUAUGUGGUGAUUAUAUACCAUGGAAUACCAUGCAGCCAUGAAAAAGAAUGAUAUUUUUCCUUUGCAGCAACAUGGAUAAAGGUGCAGGCCGUAAUCCAUCAUAAUCGUAAAUGAACUAAUGCAGGAACAGAAAACCAAACAUUGCAUAGUCUCACUUUUAAGUAGCAGCAGCUAAACAUUGAGUACACAUGGACACAAAGAAAGGAACAAUGGAUACUAGGGCCUACUUGACGGUGGAGAGUGGGAGGAAAGAGAGAAUUGAAAAACUAUCAUUGGUGCUAUGAUUAUUAUGUGGGUGAUGAAAUAAUCUGUACACCAAACCCUCACGACAUGCAAUUUACCUAUGUAACAAGCCUUCACAUGUACAACAGAAAUUAAAAUAAAAGUAAAGAAAAUAUAGACAUUUGUGUGUUUUUGGAAAAUCUGUGGUAGUAAAUAUAUUCACAUAGCAUACAAUGAUGACCAUAAAUCAAUUAUAACUAAGUGGGUUUUAGAAUUUUAUUUUCAAAAUCCAUACUACUUUUCUCAAUCUGUGUAUACCAAAAAUAUAAUAUCUCUUUUUAGGAAAAGUAUAAUAUUAUUUGAAUAAUAGUUUAAUGGAAAUAGCUAAUUUAGAAAUUAUAAUGCAAAUCAAGAGGCAUUAAAAUUAUUUUUUAAUUAACUAAAUUUACAUAGAUAUCUUGAAAUGACAGAAAAUUAGAGUAUCUGCAGUGCUAUCUAAAUUGAAUAUUAUUAAAAACAAUAAGUGCUUAAUUAUGCUUUGUUUGUGAUCAAAAGUUAAUGUGCCUAAAAAUAAUUUAAAUGUAAGCAUUACUGAGAGGGUUUUUAGACAUGUCUGAAAGCUGUCUGAAAGGUCUAACGGCUACCUGGCUUUUGAACAGACUGGAACAGACUGAUGUUGAGCAGAACAUUUUGUAUUUGCUAUCUGGAA
rnacentral:lncRNA from 10 species